rnacentral:piRNA from 1 species
UACUGCAUGCUGGGAUUAUAGGUGU